rnacentral:rRNA from 1 species
AUUGAACGCUGGCGGCAGGCCUAACACAUGCAAGUCGAACGAGUGGCGGACGGGUGAGUAAUGUCUGGGAAACUGCCUGAUGGAGGGGGAUAACUACUGGAAACGGUAGCUAAUACCGCAUACCAUCGGAGGUGCCCAGAUGGGAUUUGCUAGUAGGUGGGUGCACGGCUCACCUAGGCGACGAUCCCUAGCUGGUCUGAGAGGAUGACCAGCCACACUGGAACGGAGCCACGGUCCAGACUCCUACGGGAGGCAGCAGUGGGGAAUAUUGCACAAUGGGCGAAAGCCUAAUGGAGCCAUGCCGCGUGUAUGAAGAAGUCCUUCGGGUUGUAAAGUACUUUCAGCGGGGAGGCGUUACCCGCAGAAGAAGCACCGGCUAACUCCGUGCCAGCCGCCGCGGUAAUAC